GUGCCAGCCGCCGCGGUAAGACGUAGGGUGCGAGCGUUGUCCGGAUUUAUUGGGCGUAAAGAGCUCGUAGGCGGCUCGUCGCGUCAGCUGUGAAAACCCGCGGCUUAACUGUGGGCUUGCAGCUGAUACGGGCGGGCUAGAGUUCGGUAGGGGAGACUGGAAUUCCUGGUGUAGCGGUGAAAUGCGCAGAUAUCAGGAGGAACACCGGUGGCGAAGGCGGGUCUCUGGGCCGAUACUGACGCUGAGGAGCGAAAGCGUGGGGAGCGAACAGGAUUAGAAACCCCGGUAGUCC
rnacentral:rRNA from 1 species